rnacentral:ncRNA from 1 species
AAGGUUUGGUCCUAGCCCUUCUAUUAGCCAUCAGUAGGAUUACACAUGCAAGUAUCAGCACCCCGGUGAAGAUGCCCUCUUGAUCACCAACGAUAAAGAGGAGCGGGUAUCAAGCACACUGUACAGUAGCUAAAGACGCCUUGCCUAGCCACACCCCCACGGGAUACAGCAGUGACAAAAAUUAAGCCAUGAACGAAAGUUCGACUAAGCCAUACUAGCCUAUAGGGUUGGUAAAUUUCGUGCCAGCCACCGCGGUCAUACGAUUAACCCAAGUUAAUAGACAUACGGCGUAAAACGUGUUAAGGAAAUUACCCACCCAAUAAAGUUAAAUCUUGGGCUACGCUGUAGAAAGCUUUAGCCCGGAUAAAAAUAAACCACGAAGGUGACUUUAGACGAUCCGACCACACGACAGCUAAGACACAAACUGGGAUUAGAUACCCCACUAUGCUUAGCCCUAAACCUAAGCAGCUAAAUAACAAUGCUACUCGCCAGAGUACUACUAGCAACAGCUUAAAACUCAAAGGACUUGGCGGUGCUUUAUAUCCCUCUAGAGGAGCCUGUUCUGUAAUCGAUAAACCCCGAUAAACCUCACCAACUCUUGCUAAUACAGCCUAUAUACCGCCAUCUUCAGCAAACCCUAAAAAGGAAAUAAAGUAAGCAAAAUCAUAAAACAUAAAAACGUUAGGUCAAGGUGUAGCCCAUGAGUUGGAAAGAAAUGGGCUACAUUUUCUAGCAUAGAACAUCGACGAAAAUUUCCGUGAAACCGGAAAUAGAAGGAGGAUUUAGUAGUAAAUUAAGAACAGAGAGCUUAAUUGAAUUAGGCCAUGAAGCACGCACACACCGCCCGUCACCCUCCUCAAGUAUAAAGAUACAAUGCCCAAUCCUAUUAAUAAGUGUACACACACAUGAGAGGAGAUAAGUCGUAACAAGGUAAGCGUACUGGAAGGUGCGCUUG